UGUUAAAAAUUUCAUCAAUUUGUAUGGUUAAAAACUGAGUGGCUGAUGAAAUAAUCAAACGGUGAUUCGAGAUGUGCUAUAUGUACCUCAUGCUGAUGUACAUAAAUCAAUUUUUAACAGUAAAAAUGGACGAAAUUUGAUG
rfam:Gossypium arboreum cultivar AKA8401 contig_67577_1, whole genome shotgun sequence.